GAGGUAAUCAUAAUACCAGAACUGCCAGAACCCUGGUUUCUAGGCCCGAAAGCAUCUAGUCCAAAAGACAUCGUUGGAUUAUUAACUGAAAACUCGCUGAAACUGAAACAGAGGACUGAAAACUGGCGUUGCCGGAAAACAGGAACACUGUAGCUGCCGGAAAAACACUGUAGCUGCCGGAAAAAUUCAAAGUUGUCGGAAUUGAAAAGUAAAAAUAUGGAUAGGCUCGGAAUUCAAGGGUGAGCAANNN
rnacentral:lncRNA from 1 species